rnacentral:misc_RNA from 1 species
GCAGGGAAAGCGACUCAAAAUGAAGAUAAGAGCUUGCAACCUGAGGUUAAAGCUGAGAAGGAAGUGGACAACACUGAAGAUAAACCAAAGGAUAAUUCACAAACUGGUAGUGGUGCAGUUGUACAAGGUACUAGUGUCAAAACUGCCAUAAAGAAGAAAAUAAUUAAGAGAGUACUUAAAAGAAAGCUUGCAGGUGUGGAGACCAGUGGUGGGGCCAAUGAGACUAAGAAGGAUGACAAAAUAGUAGCUCAGACAGGUAAUGGAACAGAAAAUAUGGAGAAAGAAAGAACAGAUGCAGAAAGCCAGAUGAAUGAGAUACAAAAUUCAGAAAAGAAAAUAAUUCCCAAGUCAAAAUCACCUACUGUGGAGAAGGAAGCUAGUGUGCCCAAUUCAAUUAAAACAGAAAUCAAAGCUGUCAAGGAGGAUAAGAAGAAUGACAAGGAAAUUGAUGGGAAAAGUGCCUCUGGGGCUAAAAUUGAGGGCAAGGAUGACAAGCAAAAAAUAGCUCAGAGGGAUAAUCAUGAUGGCAAGUAUAAAGGAAAGGAUGAUGAAAAAUCAAAGGAUGAAAAGAAGAAAAAGGAUGGAAAAGACGAGUCUAGGAGUAAAUCCAAUAAGGAUGCAAAAGAAAAGAGAAUGCCCGAAGAACCUCCUAGACAUCCUGGAUUGAUUCUGCAAACAAAAGGGGAUAAAGAAACUAAACUGCGGUCAUUGUCACUUUCACUUGACUC